rnacentral:rRNA from 1 species
AUGCAUUUCCCAAACAGACCAAUCCAGGUGGAGAAGAGAAUGCGACGUCGUGGGAAGCUUGUUGAUGACAGGUGGUGGGAUGAAGUAAUGAUUGCCAACUCGUAUGCCCUGCUCAUUGGUUACCUGUCCAUGGCCGUCAAGGGCCUGGGUUUUCUGGUGCUUACUUGGACCACCGUAGUUCUUCUGGGUGGCUUCGUCUCUACACUGCAGAAGAAGGAUUUUUGGUGUCUUACCUUCAUUACCCUAGUACAGACAGCUGGGAUCUUCGAUGUUCUUCUAACUGAAAAGCUGAGCUAUAUUGGCAAAUCAAUCUGGGCUGUUUUAUUACCCCUGUCUGUUGACAACCUUUUGCAGCGUAAAUGCUGGGUGCUAGCAGAAUUUGCAACGAUUGUUCAAGUAGUAGUAUUUGCCAUUCUAUUGUGCCCUCUGGAAGCUGUCUACAUGUUUGGGUUGUUAAUCUCCACGGGGAUUUCGAUGUGGCGUCUGAGACAGCAUGAUUACGGGAGUGAUGCUGACGGACUAGGAAACCUGAAGCCGGCGCUGGACGUCUUGUAUUCCAUUGCUGUAUUCCAGGGUGUGAUUUUCUGCUACAAAACCUUAUUUGGUUUUGCAAAGGGAUCUGUAGUGAAUACAGUACUUGAAAGAAUGAAGUUUGGGAAUCAGGUUCGUGUUGGAAUCUCGGACUACUUACUUGAAACGACAAUCGGAUGUGAAAAGAACCCGUCGUUCGCUGGAGGAAGAAACCUCGUCUCAUAUGCUGUGGACCUCAUGGGGUCUAAGUUACCUGAUGACUAUGUUUCCGGGUUAAGGAUCCUGGAUGCAUUCACCAGACGAAUGAAGAUAUCUGCCAAGGGUUUUGAAGAAAUAAGUAUCUUUUUCACUAGGAGGAAAUUGAAGAUGUUCGUGCAGGAGCACAUGCUCAUGAAGUAUCUGAUCAUGUCUGCAUCCUCUACUGACUUACUCCAGAAACUGCUGCAGACGUUAGGCUCCAGUAGUAUAUAUGACAGAGAGACGAGGGGGUGCGCUGCGAGGAUUGUGGCCCAGAUUGCUGCAGGCAUUCGUUUGGAGGAGAUCCCAACGGGGGUUGUUUACAUAUUUUCUCUCAUCAACUCAUUCGAAACAUACAGUUUACUCCAACCAUACCAGGUAGAGUGGGCACAAGAGACAUUCGAAAAAAAUUGGUACAGUAUGGCUCGCCAUCUGCAGUCACCAGAUCUUGAUAGCAAAGAGGACAGUCAUGAAGAGCGAGGGGACAGUGAUGGUGAACUUUUUAACGCCUACAAGGAUUUAAUGGAGCAAGGUUUUUGUAUCAUUCGGAAGCUCGCAACCAAUAAUGACAAUUGCAGAAUCAUGCUCGACACCCCAUGCCUGCUCCAAAAGAUCAUGGCGCCUGUGACCUCCGACCUACUCCACCAAAUAGAUCAUGGUGCAUGGCAUGGCAUAGUAGAGGGUUCAAUGAAAGCGAUUAUGUGGCUCGUGGCUGCUACUGGGCAGACCGGCACCAAGCUGCGUAGCAAAAUCUCAAGCAGUAAGGAAGCGAUCAGCACCAUGGAGAGGAUUCUUGACUGUGAAGAAUGCGAUGAAAAGCUGCAGCAACAUGUUAUUCUGGUUCUCAGAGACCUAUACAUGGAUACAUUUUGA